UUACCACAUGUGUCAGUGAGUUGUCAGCCCUGCUUGGUGGAGGAGCGCCCGAGCCCACGAGGAUUUCUUUCAUUUUUUUUUUUUUAACAAGUGGAAUUACGUCGUCUCAGAUAACAAACAUGUCAUUCUUUUGUGCGAGACCAAAUGAGCACAGGUAAAUGAAAUUGCUUGUGAGUGCGAGUGCCACAGACAAAACCCCAGAUGGACAGGUUAAAGACAGAACAAAAGAGGAAACAUGCAACACACGGAAGAACCAUUUCCGCGAGAUCACCCGCUUAAAGGUGAGAUGCAGGAAAAUAAUCUCCGCCAAAGAUUGGAUCCACAGCCCCAGCCUCAGCUUUAUAAACAAGGAGAAGAAGAAGAAGAACAGCUGUUAAAACAUCGCCAGUCUCCGAACCAGCUGUCAGAACAUCAGGCACAUCAUGUCCAGGAAAUCUCCAAACAUCCUCAGAUCGUAGCGGAUUCCAGUGCAGGGAGAGGAGACGGGUUCAGGCAGAUGACAGGUCGGGAGCGGAACAGCAUCAACAAAGACUUGAUCGGAACUCCAUCAAAUUUCCAACACAUCGGCCACAUCAAUCGAGAGAUUACUUCCACUCAGACCACAGAGGAAGUCAGAAAUCUCUUCCAAAUGGUGAAUUUAUAUCAAGAGCAAGUGGGUUUGUUACCAGGAAAAACUACAGGUGAAGAGUCAGUUGAAUUCAGCGGCAGCGAGGGCGUAAACCAGCAGGUCGAUAUUGCGCUGGCAGGUGAUCGGGGCCUCGCGGACACGGAGCGCGAGGCGGGCGGGGUUACCCUGAGGCAGUCUCAGGUCCUCGAAGGCGCCCUCGACCACGAUCACACUGGCUAUGAUGUCGAGCUCAGGAAAGAGAGGCACGGAAUCACAUCCGCUUCCCAGUACAGAACAGCCUACAAUUUCGAUCAACAGAGAGAAGCACAAACACCUCAGCAGACGGACCAGGCGAUGCUCCUUGAUAGAGUCAAGGUGCAAGAUGACUUCAGAGAGGAAGAUAGAAAGGUGAAGAAGAACACAAGGAAAUCUUUGUCGCCUCGUCUGUUGGGCUCCUCCAGCACUCUGACAAGGGAGGGGAAACUAAGGAAGGAAAUGAUUGGCUCACCGAAGGACUUCCAGCACGUGAUGGGCGCGGGUCACAUGCUUGAAUCCCACGAGAGAAAGUCUCCUUUGGCAACGUCACAAACAAAGAAAGAGGAAACCGAAGGAGGGGGAGCGAAGGACCCGGCGCAUGACCGCGUCUCUCACAUUAGCGCUGUCAUCGGCAGAAAGGACAUGAUUGGGCCGCCCACCGAUUUUCACCACGUGAUGGGCGCCGGCCAGAUGCGCGCCGCCCACGAGAUACCGCCCACACACACGCCACCGAACACCAUUGCCAGCGACGCGGAAGGAAGGGAGGAGCAAAAAGAACUUCCUUAUUAUAGACGUCCUCCGCCUUCUGCGCCUCCGCCUCCUCCUCCGCCCUCUGCCCUUCCCCCUUCGUCCGCCCGUAUUAAAGGCGGUAGACUAAGGAAGGACAUGAUCAGUGCGCCAUCAAAUUUCCACCACGUGAUGGGCACCGCCCCUUACCACGCCUCCCUGGAGGGGCCGAUAACCGAAGAAGAUGGUGGAGAAAAAAGCAGCUUAGAAGAACGUAUAGCAGUCUCGGCCAGAUUAGGUCAAGAGAGUUCGGAUUUGACCAAACCCUUAAGAAAGAAAAGUGCGAUCGGGCACCCCACCAACUUCCAGCAUGUAGUCCACGUCGACACCAGCACGCCGGAGUCCGACCUGAAACAGCUCCUUAUUGAGAAGACCAGCGAUGCGAGUAUGCACGGCUCUGCUCAUGACGUCAGCAAGGUUCCUGCAGGCCGGGGAGGAGCCAGGCAUGGAGCCGAAGGGAGAGGCGGCUCCUCAGCGACACGCCCCUCUGCCCAUGCCAAGAUAAGGAAGGACAUGAUAGGAACCCCAACCAACUUCCAACACAUAUCUCACGCUGGACUCGAUUUGGGGAAGGCAUAAACAAACCACGUAUCGUCAUAACGUAGGACUCAUGGACCGUUAAAAUCUACUGUGACCAAAUAUUUUGAAAAAGAAAGAAAAAAAGAUGCGCCAGUUACAUUAAACAUACGAAGCCUCCCCACAUCCCCGGCGGACCCACGGCACAGCAAACGGCACAAGCUUAGAUCUCAUGGCGCUUCGUUGGCGGGGGGUCGGAAGAGGAGCGAGCGCCAAGCAAACAAGAGGAUCUUCCUGCUUUUCUAGUCUCCAUCAGCGUCUUCUUCGGCCAGUCCUUUGUCACGGUCUUGAUAAUCAAAAUGUGUUCAGUCCGAGAUCAUGUAUCAUUAUACAGUUAUUAUGAA
rnacentral:misc_RNA from 1 species